rnacentral:rRNA from 1 species
CCUACGGGUGGCAGCAGUGGGGAAUAUUGCACAAUGGGCGAAAGCCUGAUGCAGCAACGCCGCGUGAAGGAAGAAGGUCUUCGGGUCGUAAACUUCUGUCCUUGGGGAAGAAGAACUGACGGUACCCAAGGAGGAAGCCCCGGCUAACUACGUGACAGCAGACGAGGUAAUACGCAGGGGGCGAGCGUUAACCGGAUUUAUUGGGCGUAAAGAGUACGUAGGUGGCAACCUAAGUGAAGGGUUGAAGGCCAUGGCUCAACCAUUGUUUGCCCUGGGAACUGGGAUUCUUGAGUGCAGGAGAGGAAAGCGGAAUUCCUGGUGUAGCGGUGAAAUGCGUAGAUAUUAGGAGGAACACCAGUGGCGAAGGCAGCUUUCUGGACUGUAACUGACGCUGAGGUACGAAAGCGUGGGGAGCGAACAGGAUUAGAUACCCGAGUAGUC